rnacentral:lncRNA from 1 species
UUUAGCACAAGCGUCACCAAAAAAACUCCUUAGCAUAGCUAUGUUUAAACAAUCCUCAGACUAAAUCAAGACUUCCUAAACGAGCUAGAAUUCCAAUACUGAUAUGACCCAAUUUACAAUGCCAAGCAAGAUGAUUUUCAGUUUUGAUGGACACUAAACAAAGUUGAUUAAUGUUUUUCACUGUUUUGAGAUUUACUAAGUAAAUGUUCCCCUUUUUAUAUCCCCUAAACAAAAUUUUACCAUCUUUAAUACUUUCGACUCGACAAAAUCUAUAUUCGAACACUAUCCUAUUCUUUUCUCCACAAAUUUAACUAAUGGGUAGCAAGUUAUGGCUAAGACCUUCAACAUAAAAAUACUUCAUUCAUAAAUAUGUAAUGUUUUAUUUCCUACUGUUCCUACUUCAGAGAUUUUGCAUAAUCUAUUAUGAUCGAAACUAACAUUACCUCUUUCUGUGACAUAGUGCUCACAGAAUAAAGCAGCAUUACCGGUCAUGUGGUGAGACACCCACUUGUGACUCUUCUCAUCAACAAGAUAACAGAUCUCCAUUUUCUCCUCUAUUGAAGCUUGAAUUUCCUCGACUUUUUCCUCAGUUGGAGUCUUAAUGUCCUCAACAUCAUUUGCUA